CGCAGGAUAGAGCAGUCUGGUAGCUCGUGGGGCUCAUAACCCCAAGGUCGCAGGUUCGAAUCCUGCUCCUGCA
rnacentral:tRNA from 1 species